CCGACACAGGUAGUCAAGAUGAGAAUUCUAAGGUGAGCGAGCGAACUCUCGUUAAGGAACUCGGCAAAAUGACCCCGUAACUUCGGGAGAAGGGGUGCUCUUUGAGGUUCACGCUUCGAAGAGCCGCAGUGAAUAGGCCCAAGCGACUGUUUAUCAAAAACACAGGUCUCUGCUAAACCGUAAGGUGACGUAUAGGGGCUGACGCCUGCCCGGUGCUGGAAGGUUAAGAGGAGUGGUUAGCGCAAGCGAAGCUACGAAUCGAAGCCCCAGUAAACGGCGGCCGUAACUAUAACGGUCCUAAGGUAGCGAAAUUCCUUGUCGGGUAAGUUCCGACCCGCACGAAAGGCGUAACGAUUUGGGCACUGUCUCAACGAGAGACUCGGUGAAAUCAUAGUACCGGUGAAGAUGCCGGUUACCCGCGACAGGACGGAAAGACCCCGUGGAGCUUUACUGUAGCCUGAUAUUGAAAUUCGGUACAGUUUGUACAGGAUAGGUAGGAGCCUUAGAAGCGUGAGCGCUAGCUUACGUGGAGGCAUUGGUGGGAUACUACCCUAAUUGUAUUGGAUUUCUAACCCGCAGCACUUAUCGUGCUGGGAGACAGUGUCAGGCGGGCAGUUUGACUGGGGCGGUCGCCUCCUAAAGAGUAACGGAGGCGCUCAAAGGUUCCCUCAGAAUGGUUGGAAAUCAUUCAUAGAGUGUAAAGGCAUAAGGGAGCUUGACUGCGAGACCUACAAGUCGAGCAGGGUCGAAAGACGGACUUAGUGAUCCGGUGGUUCCGCAUGGAAGGGCCAUCGCUCAACGGAUAAAAGCUACCCCGGGGAUAACAGGCUUAUCUCCCCCAAGAGUUCACAUCGACGGGGAGGUUUGGCACCUCGAUGUCGGCUCAUCGCAUCCUGGGGCUGUAGUCGGUCCCAAGGGUUGGGCUGUUCGCCCAUUAAAGCGGUACGCGAGCUGGGUUCAGAACGUCGUGAGACAGUUCGGUCCCUAUCCGUCGUGGGCGUAGGAAAUUUGAGAGGAGCUGUCCUUAGUACGAGAGGACCGGGAUGGACAUACCUCUGGUGUACCAGUUGUCGUGCCAACGGCAUAGCUGGGUAGCUAUGUAUGGACGGGAUAAGUGCUGAAAGCAUCUAAGCAUGAAGCCCCCCU
rnacentral:rRNA from 1 species